CCCUUAGAUGUUCUGGGCCGCACGCGUGCUACACUGAGUAAAUCAAUGGGUAAGGGUACACGAAAGUGCAACCUAAUCUUGAAAUUUGCUCGUGAUGGGGAUCGACGGUUGCAAUUUUCCGUCGUGAACGAGGAAUACCUUGUAGGCGCGUGUCAUCAUCACGCGCCGAAUACGUCCCUGCCCUUUGUACACACCGCCCGUCGCUCCUACCGAUUGAGUGAUCCGGUGAGGCUCUGGGACCUGGACGGAAAGAGCGUUUCGCUUGUUCUGUUUGGGAAACUUGGUCGAACCUUAUCAUUUAGAGGAAGGAGAAGUCGUAACA
rnacentral:rRNA from 1 species